ACGGUACCUCCACAAGAAGCUCCGGCUAACUACGUGCCAGCAGCCGCGGUAAUACGUAGGGAGCAAGCGUUGUCCGGAAUCAUUGGGCGUAAAGCGCGCGUAGGUGGCCACAUAAGUCCGUUGUGAAAGCCAAAGGCUCAACCUUUGAAAGCCGAUGGAUACUGUGUGGCUAGAGUACGGAAGAGGCGAGUGGAAUUCCUGGUGUAGCGGUGGAAUGCGCAGAUAUCAGGAGGAACACCAAUAGCGAAGGCAGCUCGCUGGGACGUUACUGACACUGAGGCGCGAAAGCGUGGGGAGCGAACAGGAUUAGAUACCCUGGUAGUCCACGCCGUAAACGAUGGGUACUAGGUGUGGGAGGUGUCGACUCCUCCCGUGCCGUCGCUAACGCACUAAGUACCCCGCCUGGGGAGUACGGCCGCAAGGCUAAAACUCAAAGGAAUUGACGGGGGCCCGCACAAGCAGCGGAGCAUGUGGUUUAAUUCGACGCAACGCGAAGAACCUUACCUGGGCUUGACAUGUUGGUGACCGCCGUGGAAACACGGUUUUCCUUCGGG
rnacentral:rRNA from 1 species